rnacentral:tRNA from 1 species
GCACCCAUAGCUCAAUUGGAUAGAGUAUCUGACUUCGGAUCAGAGGGUUUCAGGUUCGACUCCUGAUGGGUGCACCA